CGGUUGCUACCUGACCCGACAGGCCGAGUUAUCUCUGGGGCUAUAAAUCAUCCUUUGGGAGCUGCCCCUGCCAAGACCGUGGUCUUGGUAUAGCGGUGCCCACCUGUAUUAUCAGGCCACAGAGGAUAUUCAGUGCCAUCGAUCUUGGUGGCUUCCGU
rnacentral:other from 1 species